UGGGGAAUAUUGCACAAUGGGCGGAAGCCUGAUGCAGCAACGCCGCGUGCGGGAUGACGGCCUUCGGGUUGUAAACCGCUUUCGCCUGUGACGAAGCGUGAGUGACGGUAAUGGGUAAAGAAGCACCGGCUAACUACGUGCCAGCAGCCGCGGUGAUACGUAGGGUGCGAGCGUUGUCCGGAUUUAUUGGGCGUAAAGGGCUCGUAGGUGGUUGAUCGCGUCGGAAGUGUAAUCUUGGGGCUUAACCCUGAGCGUGCUUUCGAUACGGGUUGACUUGAGGAAGGUAGGGGAGAAUGGAAUUCCUGGUGGAGCGGUGGAAUGCGCAGAUAUCAGGAGGAACACCAGUGGCGAAGGCGGUUCUCUGGGCCUUUCCUGACGCUGAGGAGCGAAAGCGUGGGGAGCGAACAGGCUUAGAUACCCUGGUAGUCCACGCUGUAAACGGUGGGUACUAGGUGUGGGGUCCAUUCCACGGGUUCCGUGCCGUAGCUAACGCUUUAAGUACCCCGCCUGGGGAGUACGGCCGCAAGGCUA
rnacentral:rRNA from 2 species